UGUUCAGGGGCCUGUGGCUCGGAGUGGCCGGCCGCCUCCUGAAAUUCCACAUGGCGCAGGAUGCCUCCCAAACCCAACUUGCCACCACUGCCAGCUUGGGCUUUUUUGACAAUCCCAGGUGCCUCCUGCAAACUGACAUCAGGAACCUGGGCUGCUGAGUUUUGUUUCCCAGAAAAAUGGGCCGGCCUUGCUGUUCAGUGACCUGUGGCCCCCUACUGAAUUUCUGGUAUCCAGCAAAGGUGCUGCUAGAAAACCUAUACCUUGUUUAUCUGAUUUACUUAUGUGAAGCAAAGUGCAAAAAAUGCAGAAGCCCCUGUUUCCAACAUACCACCCCACAAGUUAAAGGUCUCAAAGCAUGCAUAAUGGGAAACAGAUGACGUGAGUACAUACAAUGUUCCUCAGGAAGAAGAGCAGCUUUCUGGAGGUGCGCAAAGACACUUCUGGACAGGACUGCCAUUAGCACUCCAGCUCCUGGCUCAAAGCCCACGGAAUCAGAGAGAGAAUAUUUCACCAAUUGCAGGGCACUGCGGUGUCAUCCUUCUGUCACUUGACCUGGUCCUGCGAGCCAUUUCUCUGAAUUCUGAAACUGGAAAGGUUUAAGAAAACAUGCAAAAUGCUGAGGAUACACGUACGGUUAAGGAUACGCUACUAGCUGCUGCUGCUCCAGUAAAGGAGGCCAGGGGUUUCCAAGGCGUUUUCUGAUUAACAUCCUAAUGCUGGCAGACCACUUCUUACCUAAAGGGACACUAAAAGUUUGUUGCUAGCAUCAAACGUGACUUCUCCGUUUCCAAAAGGCCUGUAGGAGAUCAAGGUAAAUCUAUUUCAAUGUUCCUGAGAUCUCAUUCCUCGCUGUGAACUGGAGCUCCGCUGCUCUAAGGCAGGCUGGUAGCGAGAGGUUGCCAUUAUAGCACGAGGGAUUCCGUACAGUUUUGCUGGUUUGCUUGGGGGGUGGGGGAGAGAAAAGCUCACAAAGAACACGACAGGGAACCUAAAAUCCAAAUCUACGAGCCUGCCCCUCAUGAAUCCAUCGGCAUUAGCACUUUGUCUGUGAACGACAGUUUUCCAUCGCAGGGCGCUUUUAUCUCCUUUUGCCGUAGCAUUUGAGAAAGAAUAUCUGAUGUGCAAUAUUCGGAAUAUUUUAGUAACGUGACAGGCGCUCUCGAUCUUUUCCUUUCUGUAAGGCUCUACCCGAACUCCCCGAGCUAAUGGGGGGCUGAUGGGGAUGAUGAGGGGUACAUGGCUGUGGGGAUUUCCACAGGUACAGCGUUUGCCUGCGCACGCAGGGCUGGAGAGCUCCCGCGGACAUCCCGCUGGCCGGCUGCAGCCCCUGCCCGCAGCUCCGCGGGCGCUGCCCGGAGCCCCUUCCACCUUCGCAAUUAGCGUGGGUGCCCUGGGAAGGUUUCAGCGUGCGCUCCCCGGAUCCGCUCUGCCACCGAGCCCGCGUUCUCCCUGGCCACGGGCUACGGGCUAAAGCCUAGCACAGCGUGAACGAUCUCGUGUUUAGUUCGGAGGAUUUAGGACGAGGUCUAUAUGCAAAUUAAUAAUUGACCAACAAUAAUUAGGAGAAAGGGGAGGGUGUUCAGGCGGGGGGUGGGGGUGGGGAGGAGGAGGAGGUGUUCUUUGAGGAGAAGUGGUUUGGAUUUCGCCUGCCGCAUUUGAGGCCGUGGCGUGUCCGGCUGCGGGCGCAGGGCGCUGCCCGGGCCAGCCGCCUCCCGCCCCGCAGGGCACCAGAGCUUCACACCCUCUCCGUCAGCACCUGAACUUUUCAAGACACUUCCAGUUUAAUCAUUUCCAGAAAUUUAAAGCGCGUCGUAAUAACAGCAACAGGAUUACGAUCCUGUUGCCUGCAAGUCGGGUGGUUAAAGCCAGGUCUAUUUUUAAAUCCUAACGCUAUUUUCUGCUCUACGAGCUUGUGGUGGAGUGCAGUGCUAUUAAUGAUCAGUCUCAUCUGUUUGUAUAGUCCGCGGGCACUGCAACCAAUCUAGACACAAAGAAGGGAAAUCUGAAUAGAAUUACAUCUCUUGGUGGUGGCACUAAAUGUAGCUAAUACAGUUUCCAGUAUUCAAAUAGGUUGCGGUUUAUUUUAUCUCAUUUUUAAAUUAUUUUUUUUAUUUUAAAAUACAUUAUUUAAAAUUGCACUUCGGAGUCAGAUCCAACGUAUUUUACCGUCACCAUCUUUCUUCUCCUUUGAGUCCUCUCGAGUGUUCCGUAAAGCAACUUUCGGAUCGCUGUGCUAGGGACAUGUUAAAGCCGGUGCAUGGCAGCCAGACUCGGGCAGCAGCCCCUCUGCUCCCCUGCCAGGCUGCGCGGGGCUGGCGGUGCGAGGGACACAAGCGCUGGGUGUUUUAAGCGUUACCGGCAUCGGAUUAAAACUCCCCAAACCUCCAAUGUGCUUGUAGCUCCCGG